GCCUCGGUGGUGUAGUUUUAGUAACAUGCGUCCCCAAUACGUAUGGAACGCGGGUUCGAUUCCCGCCCGAGGCC